rnacentral:rRNA from 1 species
UACGAAGGGGGCUAGCGUUGCUCGGAAUGACUGGGCGUAAAGGGCGCGUAGGCGGAUGGCACAAUCAGAUGUGAAAUUCCCGGGCUUAACCUGGGGGCUGCAUUUGAUACGUGUUGUCUAGAGUGAGGAAGAGGGUUGUGGAAUUCCCAGUGUAGAGGUGAAAUUCGUAGAUAUUGGGAAGAACACCGGUGGCGAAGGCGGCAACCUGGUCCUUGACUGACGCUGAGGCGCGAAAGCGUGGGGAGCAAACAGG